AAAUGUCAUAUCGGAUGUUGUUUAUAAUGGCGGAAGUGAAAUAUGUUGUGACUUACAAGUGACCUGUUCCUUGAAUAUUUGAUGUCACAAUGAUGUUUAAAGAUUUAUCAGUAUUUGAUACUUGCCCAAAGAUGGAUCUUACCCACAUAUUUGGACAAAGAAUAGAUAUUUUCAUGGGAUUUUUCUCAAGAGGUCUAAUGCAGAAUAAAAAUUAGGAGUCUGGACAGAAGCGAAUAUGUCACUGUGUAUCAAUGGACUAAACCUAUCUUGAGCUGGUACCGGUUUUCUAAGCAACAAUGUUGGUAGGCAGCAGUGGUCCACUGUCUCAGUUUUGCCACAGUCCAGGGUCAGCACCAAGCUACAUGUAUAGGACUCCUAGUACCUUAUUACUAAAAGUAUUGUUAUGAAGAAUUUUUACAAGACUUCUUGAUGACUGGGAAGACAUAUUAAAUCUGAUUGAAUUUACACACGUGGUUGAUUGUAUAGCUUUGUCAACGCAAUAGCCAAAUAUGAACCUAUUAUACCAUUUUAGCAUUAUUUAACAAAUAUAAGUCAGACAGUUUAAAAUUUGAUGAUCCUAUAAGUAAAGGAAAAAUUACAGUCUUUAGAUAUAUUCAAUUCAUCUCAGUUUUUUUUAAUGCAUAUGCAUGUACAUGUAUAAAUACAUGUAUAUGACUUUUAAUCAGGUAUACAUAUAUAGCUGAUGUAGUGACAUGGAUAUAAUCAGAAUUGAUAAUAUGUGUAUAGGUAUUCUGUAUUACUUUAUCUAGGUUAGAUCUUGAAAGCAUGUGUAUGGUACACUGUAUCAUAAAGAUGAUUUUUUUCAUUCUUUGUUUACAGUUAUUGUCAUAAAGGACAUAUGAACAGAUUUUUUUCUUUGACUCCUUUUACUUAUACAUGUAUAUAUAUAGUAGUCUCAUGGGGCCAUAAUACAAAUACCUAGCUAGUAACAAUAUUGUUUGAAUUAUAUACCGUAGAUGGGUUUCUGUGUGCACUGAUUUACUUGUACUCAUCCAUGUACAUGUACAAAUACAAUUGCAUUUUGUAUAUGUUUGUGCAUUUGCUGAUAAUUUCAAGCACCAUAAAAUCUGUUGUAUUAAUUCAAUUGUAAAUUGCAGCAUAUUUAUGAACAGUCGCGCCGGUACUCGUCUACAUAUAUUAUGUACUAGAAAAAUGUAUACGCGAUAUUCCAUUAUAUUUCUUUGAGCGGAAGGGGGGGGUUCAGUGCCUAUGCACAUGACUAUUCUAUGUUAAUAAGUUUGCAUUUUACACUUACCCUACAGACUACCACCCCUCUGUAAUGUAUUUUUGUUCAUGAUCGAAUAUUAAUUCAUAUACAUGUACACAAUUGAUUCAAUAAAUGUAAAUGAU
rnacentral:sRNA from 1 species